rnacentral:rRNA from 1 species
UGGGGAAUUCUGGACAAUGGGGGCAACCCUGAUCCAGCAAUGCCGCGUGUGUGAAGAAGGCCUUCGGGUUGUAAAGCACUUUUGUCCGGAAAGAAAACGUCGUGGUUAAUACCCGUGGCGGCUGACGGUACCGGAAGAAUAAGCACCGGCUAACUACGUGCCAGCAGCCGCGGUAAUACGUAGGGUGCAAGCGUUAAUCGGAAUUACUGGGCGUAAAGCGUGCGCAGGCGGUCCGCUAAGACAGAUGUGAAAUCCCCGGGCUUAACCUGGGAACUGCAUUUGUGACUGGCGGGCUAGAGUAUGGCAGAGGGGGGUAGAAUUCCACGUGUAGCAGUGAAAUGCGUAGAGAUGUGGAGGAAUACCGAUGGCGAAGGCAGCCCCUGGGCCAAUACUGACGCUCAUGCACGAAAGCGUGGGGAGCAAACAGGAUUAGAUACCCUGGUAGUCCACGCCCUAAACGAUGUCAACUAGUUGUCGGGUCUUCAUUGACUUGGUAACGUAGCUAACGCGUGAAGUUGACCGCCUGGGGAGUACGGUCGCAAGAUUAAAACUCAAAUGAAUUGACGGGGUC